CCUACGGGUGGCAGCAGUGAGGAAUAUUGGUCAAUGGGCGCAGGCCUGAACCAGCCAAGUCGCGUGAGGGAAGACUGCCCUAUGGGUUGUAAACUUCUUUUAUAAGGGAAGAAUAAUGAACACGUGUAGAUAUAUGACCGUACUUUAUGUAUAAGCAACGGCUAACUCCGUGCCAGCAGCCGCGGUAAUACGGAGGAUGCGAGCGUUAUCCGGAUUUAUUGGGGUUAAAGGGGAUGUAGAUGGGAAUUUAAGUUUGUUGUUAAAACUUCGGGCUUAACCCUUAUUUUGCCAUUGAAACUGGAGUCCUUGAGUACAGACGAGGUAGGCGGAAUACGUUGAGUAGCGGUGAAAUGCUUAGAUAUAACGUAGAACCCCGAUAGCGAAGGCAGCUUACUAGACUGUUACUGACGCUGAGGCACGAAAGCGUGGGUAGCAAACAGGAUUAGAUACCCGAGUAGUC
rnacentral:rRNA from 1 species